GCCGGGCACUGUGGCGCAUGCCUGUCAGCCCAGCAGCUUGGGAGGCUGAGGCAGGAGGAUUUCGAGUUUGAAGCCAGCCUCAACAAAAGUGAGGUGCUAACUCAGUGAGACCCUGUCUCUA
rnacentral:sRNA from 1 species